rnacentral:rRNA from 1 species
CGUAGGGUGCGAGCGUUAAUCGGAAUUACUGGGCGUAAAGCGUGCGCAGGCGGUUUUGUAAGUCAGAUGUGAAAUCCCCGGGCUCAACCUGGGAACUGCGUUUGAAACUACAAGGCUAGAGUGUAGCAGAGGGGGGUAGAAUUCCACGUGUAGCAGUGAAAUGCGUAGAGAUGUGGAGGAAUACCAAUGGCGAAGGCAGCCCCCUGGGUUAACACUGACGCUCAUGCACGAAAGCGUGGGGAGCAAACAGGA